rnacentral:rRNA from 1 species
AAUGAACGCUGGCGGCAGGCCUAACACAUGCAAGUCGAGCGAGCACUUCGGAAGCAGCGGCGGAUGGGUGAGGCACGUGGCGGAACGUUCCCUUUUCCGCGGAAUAGUUCUGGGACAUUGGGGGUAACACCGCACACGCCCCUUUGGCGAAAGAUUUAUCGGAGUAGUAGCUGCCGGCGUUGGAUAAGGUAGUCGGUGGUGUAAUGGCCCACUAAGCCGUCGAUCCAUAGCUGGUUUGAGAGAACGAUCAGCCACGCUGAGACUGAGACACAGCCCAGAAUCUUACGCAAGGCAGGAGUGAGGGAUCUUAGAAUAUGGGGGCAACGCUGAAGGAGCCAUGCCGGGUGAGCGAUGAAGGCCGUAGAGAAGUGAAGCAGUUUCAGCUGGGGAGGUAAUGACGGUACCCACAUAAUAAGCCCCGGCUAACUCCGUG